UACUCAUCCAUACUUAGUUUAAUAUUUUCCAAUCUUACCAAGAUUUGAUCACAAACAAAAAAAAACUUUAAAAUUCAUUCCAAGAAAUAAAAUACACAAGUCAUCCCGCAAGAGGAUCUUCCCUAGCCUGCUCUUCAGUUACAUCUUUAACAUUUACUCCCUCCUCUCUCUCUUGUUCGCUCUCACUCUUCGCUUCAGUGUAACACUCUCACUGUAAC
rnacentral:misc_RNA from 1 species